UAAGUCGUUCUGCUGUUCGCUUCUUCCCCACACUCCAAAGCAGCGUCCAUUUCUGACGUCAGCAGGGGCACAAUCCACAAACCUUUAAACUCAGCCCUACUUUCUUCUUCCUCAACGUGGUGAAUAGCAGACAUCUGGGAAAUCAGAAGGGAGGCGCUCAGAAGGCUCUGGGGACAGAGCAAAGAAACAAGACCUAGCUGCUCAGUUCCCUAAUCCAUACGUCCCAAUUCACGCAGAUGACUGAUCCUGUUAGAGAAGGGAGCAGCUUAACCUGAUUAGGCAUCGUUUACUAGCUGCAGGGCAAAUUUACCCGCGUUGAACUCCGGGUCAUCUUCCAGGACGGUCACGGCUCCUUCCACGGCGUCAACUGCGCUCC